UCGAGAAUCUUCCGCAAUGGACGCAAGUCUGACGGAGCGACGCCGCGUGAAUGAUGAAGGCCUUCGGGUUGUAAAGUUCACUCCGGAGGGAGAAAACAAUGAUCGACCUCCGAGAAGCACGGGCUAAGUUCGUGCCAGCAGCCGCGGUAAGACGAACCGUGCGAACGUUGUUCGGAAUCACUGGGCUUAAAGGGCGCGUAGGCGGGUGGCCAAGUCAGUGGUGAAAUCCUUCGGCUCAACCGAAGAAGUGCCUUUGAUACUGGCCGCCUCGAGGGUGAUAGGGGCAUGUGGAACUUCCAGUGGAGCGGUGAAAUGCGUUGAUAUUGGAAGGAACGCCGGUGGCGAAAGCGACGUGCUGGAUCUCUUCUGACGCUGAGGCGCGAAAGCUAGGGGAGCGAACGGGAUUAGAUACCCCCGUAGUCC
rnacentral:rRNA from 1 species